CCAGGGACGGAUGUGAGGGGCCCUGCAGGGAGUGGGCAGGGACAGCUCGGUCUUUCUCCAAAUCCGGGCGUGCCUCUCGCCGCUCUCCGCCACCGUCCCCUGCGCAGGUGUGGAAGUCGAGGCAUCGGAGAAGUUAAUCAUUGGUUUCCCCAGGAUCUGCUGAGUGCACAGAACAAUUGCCAGGCAGGUGUCUAGAAGGCUGUUUUCACCGACUGACAUAAACCGAGAGGCCUGCAAAAAAAUCAACCUGAAGAUAUUAAUGGCUUAAUCAUCAAAACAGAUCGGCCUGAUCUCAACUCAGGCCUGACUGACCAGUGUCUCAGAGACAUCAGUGGUGACCUGAUCCCUUAGGAACAGCGAGGUUCGAGCUUUGGGUGAGCGACUUUCAAGAGUGUCUUAGGCCCAUCACGUGAUUGUGGCGAGUGAAAUCAGCAGGACUUGUGCUGGUGGUGGUGUAGUGCUCUGUUCUGGAGCAUGGAGAGGCCAGAGGUCCGUUUAGGAAACGUGCCCGUCUACCUGCCCCUCAUCGGACGUGUUUGGUCGACAGCUGCUCCCGGUUGCUUCCCCGAGCCCUAGGUCUGUGAGAGUUCAGCGCCUCUCCUACUGAUAGUGGGUACAGAAGAGGACAGAGAGAAUAAGUAAGUAAAGCGUCAGUAGCACCAAGUCUUCUGUAAGUAUCAUCUACACAUUGGGUCCUGAAUAGCUGUGUAUUCCUAAGACUCCUAGUCAUUAUAAGGGCUUGCCAGGACUGUGAAAAGUCACAUUUUACCCUCCUUUCAGGCUAACAGGUUAGCCUACCGCAGUCCCCUGUGUGCCAGAGACACCCACGAGUCCUGCGUCAGAGACAAAGGAGUUAAUUCCUCACAGCAGUUGCAGUAGCCAGAGUCAGCAUGUGCACCAGUUCGCCAAGUCCCGGUUCCCACGGGGUGACACAAAGUGGGCCAGGUGAUGGCCCCACAUGCAGUGGGUUGUGUUACGGAAGAGGAACCUGGAGCUUAAGGAACACAAAUCAUCUAUAAGGGGCUGUAAGCCUGCUGACCUCCACCCAGAGAGAGGCAGGGAGACGCUUUUUACCGGGCAGUAAAUAAGCCCACGUUUGCCCCAGAAGAGGCGCUGUUUCUGUCUUCCAAGGCUUUUGGCUACACAGACAUCCCUGACAAGGUACACUCUGGACUUUACUGGGUUUACAAAGACAGGCUUGAAUGAUUCUGUCCUCAUUUGGUUCCUCUUCUGUGUCCUUCAGAGAUUGUACAGAUGUGCUCUUCUCUCAGAGGCCACUCGUUACUCACACAUAAGCUGUGCUUUUGGUUUUAUAUGUUAAGUUGAAAUUUUCUUAUCGGAGCAAGUGAUGAAACUAUGGAUUCAGUGGAUUGAAUCUGACAGUAUUAUGUGUUUCCAGGAAAAGUAUGAAAGAAAAUUAAUGUUUACAGAACUUUAGCACAAGGAGCUGAAAGCAACUUAAAUGAUUUUAGUGUGAAUACAGCUUUGCACAACCUUCCUCCAUCUUCCUUAACAAUCGACCUGCUUCCUCUAUGUCUCAGAGGCGAAUGGGGGUAGUUUCAGGGAUUCACUGGACUUGUUUACAGUAUUCAAGUGACCUUAUCUGGUGUGUUUUAAGGUGCAGAAGAAUCAGCGAUGACCUCAUACAUUGCUAAUUACCAGAUUCAGGAGCAUCAGCCAAAAGCAGCACUUGAGCCCCGUAGCAGAUCCGCAGAGCCCAGCGCUGUGGAGCAGAGAGCUGGGGGGGCAGGGCGGUGGUGAGGUGUCCUGCUUUGCUCAGAGGCCUUGAUCAGCUGUGCAGGCUUCAGUAAGGCUGACCCACGCAGAUCUGAACUGCAGGGCUCUGGCUUGCUCCUUGUUUUUAAUACUGAAAGUGGUUAUGUGAUGGAUAUAAGUGUGUGUUUUCUUUCUUUUUUUGGAACAGAAUUAAUAAGCCUCAUAAUUUCAUAGCAACCUGUUGCUGCGCUCAGCCAAGGACAGUGGUGGCAAAGCUCGUUUGUGCAUGGGCACUGGUUUUGUGCUUGCAGAGAAGAUCUGUGUCCUGUAGCACAGCGGCAGGGUGCAGUUUUCCUUUUAUGUCUUGCUGUUGGUACACUAUGACGUUUAGGGGCAGUGUUACUGCUGCACAUUGCAGGGCAUGUAACACACAUUUCCCCUUUUUGUUCUUGCUUGGGCUCAAUGUGUAGUAAUAUUAUCUUAAUGGUAUAAUUAUCCUUGCUGAUAGGGAAAUUUUAUUGCCAAGUACUUGUUUUUAAUGGAAGGAAAAUGAUCAGAGCUUCAAAAUAUGCUUCUUGAAAACAAACUACUUAUUUUUCUUGUUCUGCUCCCCCAAACCAUGUUAGUGCACUUGAAGUUACAAUAUCAUUUAAAAACAAAGCAGUACU